CAAGACAACUUUACGGAGUUGACGAUUGACGGAGCGAAGCGACGUCAAAGCGUUCAUUAAAGUCGAGUUGGCUUAGGGAUACGUUCGUUGGGUAGGGGAGCGUUCUGUAAGCCUGUGAAGGUGUGUCGUGAGGCAUGCUGGAGGUAUCAGAAGUGCGAAUGCUGACAUAAGUAACGAUAAAGCGGGUGAAAAGCCCGCUCGCCGGAAGACCAAGGGUUCCUGUCCAACGUUAAUCGGGGCAGGGUGAGUCGACCCCUAAGGCGAGGCCGAAAGGCGUAGUCGAUGGGAAACGGGUUAAUAUUCCCGUACUUGGUGUUACUGCGAAGGGGGGACGGAGAAGGCUAUGUUGGCCGGGCGACGGUUGUCCCGGUUUAAGCGUGUAGGUGUGUGUUCCAGGUAAAUCCGGUUCACUUUAACACUGAGGCGUGACGACGAGGCACUACGGUGCUGAAGCAACAAAUGCCCUGCUUCCAGGAAAAGCCUCUAAGCAUCAGGUAACACGAAAUCGUACCCCAAACCGACACAGGUGGUCAGGUAGAGAAUACCAAGGCGCUUGAGAGAACUCGGGUGAAGGAACUAGGCAAAAUGGUGCCGUAACUUCGGGAGAAGGCACGCUGACACGUAGGUGAAGUGAUUUACUCAUGGAGCUGAAGUCAGUCGAAGAUACCAGCUGGCUGCAACUGUUUAUUAAAAACACAGCACUGUGCAAACACGAAAGUGGACGUAUACGGUGUGACGCCUGCCCGGUGCCGGAAGGUUAAUUGAUGGGGUCAGCGUAAGCGAAGCUC
rnacentral:rRNA from 1 species